rfam:Laetiporus sulphureus 93-53 unplaced genomic scaffold LAESTscaffold_48, whole genome shotgun sequence.
GCCCGCCUAGCUCAAUCGGAUAGAGCGUCAGACUCUUAGGCGAGGCAAUCUGAAGGCUGCGAGUUCGACCCUCGCGGUGGGCU